rnacentral:lncRNA from 1 species
ACUGACGCAAUUUUAAUUGGAGAUCUUCGUUAGUCAUUUGACGAAUUUCAUCCGUAAGCCCGAGAAUGCCACGUAAAAUCUCCAGCAGCAGGUCUCUUUUGUCAUAUCCUUGUGAAACAGUACACCAUGCACGACAAUGAAAGUGAGACAAAACCUUUUGGCAGUUAAACAGUUUCCAAGCCAUUGUUGUCUUGCCAAUACCGGGCAUUCCCACAAGAGAAACAAUACCAAACUUUGAGGAUCCCUUGACAAGUUGAUCAGUUAUAGAUUGUUCUUCAUCUCUGGGAUCCACCACCAUUCCAUUGAUUGCUGGUGUAGCAUCCCGUGAUAUCACGUUGGGUGGAACCUGGAUGACGUGUUUGUUAUCUAGGACUUUGGCUUGAGGGGUCGUCAACUGAAUUCUAGAGGCUCGCUUAUUAACAAUUCUUAACUCCUCUAGUAGAUCAUAAACCAAAAAGAAACCUUGCCAUUGAGGAUCGACCUCAAUUGAGUCAAUGACAAACUCAAUUUUGUAAGCAAUAUUGGCAACAUGACCACCAAGAACUUUCACUUCUGGAUUGUUAUCAAUAUCCGACUCUGAGACUUUCAUGAGAAAAGAACCCAAAGACUUGAAAUGUAGAUGAAUUUCUUUUAUGUAAUUCCUGACUGGUUCAAUUGACGCAGGAUCAUAGUUCAGCAGUUCCUCCAGGCUUCCGAUGAGAAAUUCAACGAACCCUGGCUUGUCAGUCUUUGGAAAAUCAGACAAUGGAAAUGGGGGACUAACCACUCUGAGCGUAGACUUGAUAGGAUUCAGCUUAUCUUGCAGUCUAGAAGAUGAGAUGAUCAUAUUGUGGAUGGGUCCUGCCAUCCCUGCAUCAGAAGUUUCAGUUUGUGGGAAGAUCGUGUCCAUGUCCUUUGUCUCCUCCUUUAGCUGGUUGCAGAGAAGUGUGAAAAGAUUAAGGAGCACAAGAAGUGCAAUUUGAUCUUUUCGAUAAGCCUCGGAAUUUGCAGCACUACUCCUCUCCAGUUGUAACUUCUCAAAUAAUGCUUCUGCUUUGAAAACAACAAUGUUAAGAAGCAAUAGGAGAAUUGAGUUUCUCACCGUGGAUUCUGUGAUCUUCUUGGCCUCAAACAACUGAUGGAGAGAUGCUACCUUGUAGUCCACUUGUUUAAUGAGAGCCAAUGCCUUAUUCCCAUAUUCUGCCUCCCAAUGCGUAAGAUUUUCCAGAAAACGUAUCAAUUUUUUAGGCAUCCAUUGGACAUCACCUUUAACAUGAUUGAGCAGAUCUUUAGUUCGGAAAGUGCUCCCUUGAUUGUUACAGAAAAGCAUUCCCUUGAGGAAAAGCUCCGUCUGAAGAAGAAAAACAUUUAUACGUAGCUCAGAAUGGCCAUGGAUAUGUUGCUCGCCCUUUCGUUCCGUCUGUAAGAGGAAUUCCAGCUCUAUGAGCACCGUAUGAAUUUCUGCAAGGAAAAUUUGUAUAGUCUGAUCCUCUUCCUCCCCCUCCUCCUGUUGCUUCAGUUUGGUGAAGGCUAAAAGCUUUAACAGCCCAUAGAUCUCUCGAGAACAGAUCUCUCGAGUAUCUCUGAUCCUCACUUCAGUGGCAACAUAAUUGCUAUAAUGAGAGGAAAAAUCGGGCUUAACUCCUCCAAUUUUAUGGAGAGCCACAAGGAAAUGAAAAUGGAACUCCAUGAAUUUGGGAUUAGUAGGAUGAAUCUCAUGUUGCAAAUCCACUACAGAUUUAGUUAGCUUAAUCAUUUCUACCGUUUUGGUUUUGCCUUCGGUUUUCCCGCAGUGAAUCCGGUACUUAAGACUGUGGAUUGCAAUGCGCACCAUCACAGAUGCAACACGAGUCACGAAAUCAUUGAUAGCAUUUACAUCAUCACCACCUGCAGCAGCUGCUGCUGGGAAGUCGAGAUUCCUGGAUACACCUUCCAUGUAUUCCCCGAACAAUCUUAGCUCUUUGCGCCAGGCACCGAUUGGCUCGCUCCAUUUUGUAUCGUCCACAAUAUCGGCCAGAGUGGUUACAAAUUGUAGCCAAAAAGAAACAUCAGAUGGUGAUUGCAGUCGACACGACGACCACCCGGAUAAAUCCAAAAGGUGUUCAACAUCUUCUCCAAUCUCUUCCAUCCAUUUGAUGGAUUUACUGUAAUAAUCAUAGAGAGUUUUGCCAUUUACCGGGGAAAGCUUCAUCUGGGCGUUGUUCUUGUUUAUAAUUACAACAUGCCAACCAAUCUCCUCGGCUGCAGCUUCAAUCUUGACUCCCAUAUUAAGCAGCACGCGCUCUGCAUCUUCGUCUCUCAUCAGCUUGUGAAUUGCUUCCGAAAUUAACCUCAAAAGCUUCCAAUCUCCCAAGAUGCGAUCGCGUUGACGCCAGCGUACGCGGUGACUUUUGUUUCCACGCGCAACUGCAUCGAUAAAUUUGCUACUUCCCCGUACAGCAUCCAAGAAAAAAACUAUGAUAUCAAAGCUGGAAAUAGCCAUCUCCAGGUCCAGAAUUUUGAUCUCUUACUCAAGCAUACCAGUUCUGUCUGUCAGACUGAUCUGCAUAAACACAAAUGCUUUUGAUGUAUGUAUUAGGUGAAUAGGUGAUAUCGAGUGGAGGUGAUAUCGAGUGGAGUCGAGUGGAGUGCUCAAUUAUUGAAACAAAUAAACCUAAAAUAGUAAUUAAUUAUUGUAACAAAUAAACUUGAAAUUAUAAUUUGGAUAAUAUUAUUAUAAUAAAUUAAUAUUUAAUAUAAAACUUGAGUGGAGUGCUUGAUUGAUAAAGUUCGAACUCGAGUUGUUAGAGUUCAAAAAUUUUUGGAAAUAAUAGUAUAAUAAUUAAAUAUUUAAUUAUUAUAACAAAUAAAUUUAAAAUUAUAAAUUGAAUAAUAAUAAUAAUAUUUAAUUGAAUACUCGACAGAACUCGUCGAGCUCUUAAGUUUUUUUAAUAGCACCCGAACUUGACUCGAAAAUUCAAUUAAGUAACUUGAACUCGAUCAAUAUCGAGUUCAAUAAAGUAAUUAAACUGAACUGCUAGCGAAUUCGAGUCAAGCUGCUCAAUUAAAUCUCACCCUUAUCCCCAAUGGACCAGGGCCUCACAAUUUGAGGCAAUAUCCACUUCGGACACAUCCGGUCAAGAUCAAAUUGUGAUAAUGAGACAGCCACGAUUUAGUGGGUCGACAGCGCAGUAUCAAUUCGCAUGGGGAAAGAAAAAUCAAAAUUGAGGACUAAUGAAAAGACUAGAACUCAUUGUCCUCUCAUCAGAGAUAGAGGAGAAGAAUCAACGAUGAAGACUACUCAUUUCUGAGAAAUUUCUAACGAAAUCCAACAUAGGGAGAUAAAGUCUCAGACUCUUCAACUUUUUGGGAAGUGAAAUUUUGCAGCCCUACAAGUUCGAGAUUUAUUGAGGCUUUGCUUGUUGGUUCAUAAUUUAACAAAAAAAAAAACAAAAAGUUCUCAUAUCAUCAAAGUAUCAAGUAUGUUCUUGGGUUUUCAGAAUAUUCAUGGAUAUUGGAAAUUUUUUUCUUCGUUUAUUGUAAUUACAAGGGGACACAAAAGGCAUUUGGUUUUUUCCAUUCUUGUGAAGAAAUUCUCGAUAUUUAAUGACUGCUAUAAGAAGAAAAUUAGCAAAAAUGCUAACUCUCUAAUUAUCCAAAUCGAAUGGUAGAUUAGGGCUAUUAUAAUUUCUUGAUUGGCAUUGUUUGAGUUGGUCUUGUUAAAGAAGAAUUUAGAAAUCGUCAUGCCAGUGGUAUGUAUAAGAGUACGUAAAAACACCCUAAAGAAACUUGCCCCUUUUGAUUAUUUACACCAGUAGUCACAACUUUAAGUGCUGGCCAAUCUUGUUACUCUACAACCAUUUGUUGGACAAUGGACAUUGGUUAAUAAAUGGGCCUAAUGCAUAUGCAAACAAACUUAUUAAAGAAGACACACUUGCAAGCUAGAGUUGGCUUGAUAUUAUGCAGGCAUGAUCAAGGAUUCUUAAUUAGGUUCGACAAUUUUGCAAUAAAUUGGGUAAAAUAUCAAAAAACCUCUUGUGAUUUGCCGAGUGUUUAACUUAACUCCUUAUCGUUCGGAAACUUACAUUCUAAGCUCUCAUGGUUUUAACUAAAUUGGAAGGUGGAUAGAAACUGACUAAACUAAUGGUUGCAUCUAAAAUGUCAAAAUUGUCCUUUAUAAAUAAUAAGAUUUAAUGCAAAAAACUAUUUAUGAUCUGUCGAAUGUUCAACAUAACUUUUUAUGAUUUGGAAAUCUAUAUUCUAGCCUCUCGUGGGUUUAACUAAAUUGAAUUCAUUAUAUUAGCCUUCUUCUACUUCAUUCAAACAUUCUUGCUACAGCCAUUUCCCUUACUGGAAGAAUGUAGUUACUAAAGGAAUCAUUAAAAUUGUUUAUCGCGAGAAGCAAGGCUGUAGUUUCCGAAGCACAGAGAGUUAAGAAUACAUAUUAAAGAACUUAUUGAAAUUGUUUAUUACAGGGAGUUAGAAUGUAAGUUCUGAAGUUGUUAAAGCACUCAUUGAGAUUGAUUACUACGAAAGGCUAGAAUAUAGGUUUAUGAAGCAUAGAGAGCUAAGAAUAUAGAUACCAUGUUCAUCAACUAAGGCAUUGCCAAAAAAAAAAAAAAAUCAUGCAAGGUGCCCUUCCAUUGAUAUGCAGGUAUGACAAGUAAUUUUAGGUUAAGAAUUUUGUUUGUUUAGCUGUCUAUGUUUCAAUUGUAUUGUUGAGUACUUCUCUCACAUUCGUAAUUUGAGCAUUUGCACUCCUUUUAGGUGUGUAAAUAUCAUUUUUUAGUUGGCUUGAAAAGGUCUGAAUGUUUGUCACUCUCUGUUGUUCAUUAAUAUACAUUGAUAGUUCGUUGAACUCAAACUCAAGUUUAAAUUUGAUAAAAUUAGAUCGAAUCUCAGCUCGAUUCGAUUAAAAUUCAACUCGACUCGGUUGUAACUCUACCUAGGAGAGUUGUCCUUUAGAUUUAGUGACACUUUGUGUUUCUUGCUUUUAGGAAUGGCUAGGACAGCUUUUGGUAUUUCUCCAUGAUGCCCAAUUGGUAGAUUGCUUGUCAUACAUGAGGAAUCCAAUCUGCUGCCAGCAAUGCUCUCCAGAUAGCUCAAUUCAGCAGAACCCAUCUAGGAUUCGUUGUGGUUAAUUUUAGAUUGCACAAAUUUUGUUACCUCUAACAAUACAAGCCGAUAUGCUUCAAAAAAAAGUCUGAUAAGAAGACCUUUUUUUGGUGUAGUGAAACACUAUUUGCCAUGAUCCUCGUACAUGUAAGCUAGCCGCUCAAAUAUGAAUAUUAUGCUGAGUACUUCAAAAUUGGAACACUUGCUUCAGCGAAUUAGGUGCUAACUUUUGAGUCAAUGGCUGUCAACAUUUGAAGAUAGAGGGAUUGAAUGCAGUACUUCAAGAAACAAAGAAAUGAAUCUGCAUGAUUAGAAUUUCUGUUUGCUUUAAGAGGUAAGAAUUACAGUAGGUAUAAUCUAGAGGACCAACAAAACCAACUUAAACAAACUGAAUUCACCUUUCCAAAGAUCUCAAGCAAUAAUUGAUUGUUGAGUAUCCAGAUUGAGCAAAACAUUCCAUUGCAUGGAAGUUGAAUUAAGAAACACAUCAUCUUACAAAUGAAUCGAGAGAAGAAUAAGUUACUGAAAUUUGAUUAUCUUACAAGUUCGGGGAGUAAUACAACAGAAUCCACAAUCAUACUCUUAUCAUCUCAAAUAUGAACUACUAAUAAGCACUUUGAUGUCCCCAGUUGCUUCCCUGAUUCUUUUUGCAGACUCUUCCGCAGAUUGUCUGCACCAGUGCACUUCAAUCAAUUCCAGUGUGCCUAUGUCUGCAAAAUCAUACGGGAUUUCCUUGAGGUCUUUGCAAUUUUGCAAGACAAGCCGUUCAAGUUUGGGAAGGUGAUCACAAGUAGCAUUCCAUUGAGAAACGUUCAGAUUGUCUAACUUCAAGAAUUUGAGUUCCUUGAACUGAUCUUCCUCCAUGUCCCAUGUCAGCCCCUCAAAGGCAUCAAGAAGUAAUUUGAGAACUUCCAGGUUGGGUAGUCUCCCAAUUGUUGAGAUAUGACUCCAUGGUAGACGAAACUUUGAAAGAGUCAAUUUCCUCAGAUUGGAAGGGAGAAUGAAUUCCCUGGUAAUAGCGCUUCCAUAGUAAGAUACAUUGAGUGACACCAAAUGAGUUAGAAAAUCUAAUCCUGGAAACUGAUAGGAAUUCUUCGAAGAACCCUGUGGAUGAAAGAAUAUGCAUCUCAGUUUCUGGAGAUUUGGCAACCUCUUUAUUAUUGAUUCUGUAUCUUCACUACAAGAGAGAGAGAGAGACAGGAAAGGCUGACCAAAUCACCCAACUUACAGCAGACUUCAAGCCCUUCAUCAUCCAAUGUGAAAGCAACAUGCAUAUUCACAUGAAGAUGCCUCAACCUUGUCAUGUGCCAAAUAGUAUCUGGUAAGACAACCUGACCACGUAAUCCCUUCAAAACAAAAGUUUCUAGUUUUCGGAGAUUGCCUAUGGAUUGUGGAAUAGUUUGCAUAUAACCAGUGAUUGCCAAAUACCUCAAAUGAACCAGGCAUGUAAUGUCAGCAGGGAAGGUGACACCCAGGUUGAUGCAUUCAAAAUCUAACACCCGCAGAAGUUUGAAGUUGUGCCAAAUGAAUGAGAUGUCAUAAGGACACCUGGGCUCUGAAUCAGCUGAAGGAAAGAAUAUCAAAGAACGAGUACCCAGGCCAAAAGGUCUUGAUUUAAAAAAAUGGAGUCGCUUCAAAAAAAAGCACAAUCGGUAGGCUUCAUAUGUGACAGGAUCAGAAUGAUGGCCAAUUUCAAAACCAAAAUCUGAACUAGGAAAAGAUACAUAUGGCUCAUCAAACCUGGUUACUAGCCGGAAGAAGUUCUGUGCUCUGGCUUUUAACUGACAAAAAUCACGUAACAGAUCGUGCAAGCGACAUGAUUUGACCAUUCCGUUGGAUCUUCUUUUGGAGACUUCCACCAGGCUUCUGCUAAUCAACUCCAUCAAGUAACCCUCGGCAAUACCUUCUAAGCUCUUCAACUCAGAGUCAUGAAUGAAACCUUCAGCAAGCCAAAACCGUAUCAACUUGCUAACAGGAAUAUCCUUGUCUUCAAGGAAAACCCCCAAGUAAAGAAAGCACGGUUUUAGAUAUCCCGGCAAGUGUUUGUAACUCAAUUCUAAGAUUUCCAUGCACCGAGCAUUUGGAUCUUCCAUAACUUCAGCAAUCAAGCUUUUUGCAAUUUUACCCCACGAUUCUGAGCUCUCUUCUAUCCUCUGGAGGAGACCAGAUAUUGCAACAACAGCAAGAGGCAAUCCUUUACACUUUUUGGCAAUUUCCUUACCAACUAGCGACAAUUCUUCAGGACAGCCUUCACCAUGGAAUACUUUCUCUACUAAUAAGGUCCAGCUUUCAUAAUCAGAAAAUAAGCGUAGAGAAUGAGGAUCACUAUCUGGUUCAAUUUGCAAGGCCACAUCACGAAGGCGGCUCGUAAUCAAAAUUCUGCUGCCAUUGGCAUCAUCUGGGAACGAAUUUCUUAACUCAUUCCAAACUCCAGCAUCCCACACGUCAUCCAUAACAAUGAGAAACCUGUUUCUUAGUAAGCACUGACGCAAUUUUAAUUGGAGAUCUUCGUUAGUCAUUUGACGAAUUUCAUCCGUAAGCCCGAGAAUGCCACGUAAAAUCUCCAGCAGCAGUUCUCUUUUGUCAUAUUCUUGUGAAACAGUACACCAUGCACGACAAUGAAAGUGAGACAAAACCUUUUGGCAGUUAAACAGUUUCCAAGCCAUUGUUGUCUUGCCAAUACCGGGCAUUC